GCCUGCCUGUAGUCCCAGCUACUCAGGAGGCUAAGGUGAGAGGAUCGCUUGAGCCCAGGAGUUAUGGGGCUGUAGUGUGCUAUGUCCAUUGGGUGUCUGCACUAAGUUCAGCAUCAAUAUGGUGACCUCCCAGGAGUGAGGGACUACCAGGUUGCCUAAAGAGGGGUAAAAGGGCCCAGGUCGGAAAUGGAGCAGGUCAAAACUCCUGUGCUGAUCAGUAGUGGGAUCACGCCUGUGAAUAGCCACUGCACUCCAGCCUGGGCAACAUAGCAAGACCCUGUCUCUU
ensembl:misc_RNA Metazoa_SRP Metazoan signal recognition particle RNA